AGCAGCCGCGGUAAUUCCAGCUCCAAUAGCGUAUAUUAAAGUUGUUGCAGUUAAAAAGCUCGUAGUUGAAUUUCGGGAUCAAUAUUUCGGUCAUGCCGUUGGUAUGCACUGUUAUCAUUGAUUUCUCACCUUCUAAAGAACCGUAAUGCCAUUAAUUUGGUGUUACGGGGAAUUAGGACUGUUACCUUGAAAAAAUUAGAGUGUUUAAAGCAGGCUCACGCUUGAAUACAUUAGCAUGGGAUAAUGAAAUAGGACAUCCGAUUCUAUUUUGUUGGUUUCUAGGAUCGAUGUAAUGAUUAAUAGGGAUAGUUGGGGGCAUUAGUAUUCAAUUGUCAGAGGUGAAAUUCUUGGAUUAUUGAAGACUAACUACUGCGAAAGCAUUUGCCAAGGAUGUUUUCAUUAAUCAAGAACGAAAGUUAGGGGAUCGAAGACGAUCAGAUACCGUCGUAGUCUUAACCAUAAACUAUGCCGACUAGGGAUCGGAUGAUGUUAAUUUUUUAAUGACUCAUUCGGCGCCUUA
rnacentral:misc_RNA from 1 species